UAUCAUUAAUGUGAAUUAAAGGUUCAAAUGUUGAUUCAUUUUUUCCAGUUUUUAACCAUGAAUGUUUUGUUGGAGCUCUACCAAGUACAGCUAAAAAUUUCAUCAUCUUCUUACUCUCAAGCCAUAUUUCUGUUGGAUCUUGUCAGUCCAUCAGCAUUUUCCAGGGUGGAUUUCUGCCAUAGAGAGCAUCUGGCCCACCCAUUCUUGAUGUGCAAAACCUAAUGGUUUCAUUGAGAUGCAGCUCUGCCUCCCUGACAUCUAACCAUGCUAACAGCCUCUCAGAUGCUAAGGGGGUUCAUUGGAAUAAGUUAAGCUGUUGGAAGCUUUGUCUGGGCAAGGUGUAUAGCUGACAUCUAAAGGAACUAUUCCCCAUGGCCAAGCACUCAUCCCAACAGAAAAGGAAGAUCUGCCAAGCCUGGAGGCGGUGUGCAGUGACAUGUUUUCAAAGCUUGCUGAAUUCUGAAUAGCAAAUCUGACCAUGCAUACAAAGAAAGGUGAUUUAAUAUUCUGACUACUUCUCCCCCUCCCCUAAUGCCAUCUGCACAGAGAUACAGCAACCCUCCUUCUUUUUAUUAAAACUAAGACUAUUGUCUCCAUAAAGGAUGUUCAUAUCUCAUCCUAGAAUUCAGUGUAUAUAUGUGCCCUACUCAAGACAAGUGCCGGGAAAGAAUGGAAGCAGGUACAGACCACUUGGCAAGCAUGUUUGUAUUCAGGAAAGUCUGCAGAAGUAGAAGAAGGUUAUAAGUGAAUCUGCUAGGGGUAGAUAAGAACCACAGGUCACCAGCACCACAUGUGCCCCACCUGUGAUUAAGCCAUAUGCUUUAUGCCAUAAUUCUCAUUUAACAAGGCAAUAAAGCAGGGGUGCGGGUGAAUGAAAAGUGCUUCUCAGGGACAGUAUAUUUUGAUCACAUCUUCUGUCCCUUUCUUUUCUCUUCAUAAAUCUGGCACAACUGGUUUAGUUGAUUGGGACUUUUGUGUGUUGUUUGGCUUAAGUACGCACAGGGCCUAGGCUCUGUCUCAUUAUGCAUAUGUUAGCACAAAUUACUGCAUUUGAAAUGAUGAAGCCUCAAAUGCAGUAAUUCAUGCUAAGGAAAGGGAAAAUGUUACAGGAAGGGCAAAUGAAGCUAUGUGUCUGCACUUGUUCACCUCAUUAGAAUACUACAAACUUGGCCGACAGAUUUCUUAACAUUACGUCAAAAUAUUUUCCUAUGUUUAAGAGCACAGUCUCUUGAGUCAGGUAAUGUUAAGUUUAUGCUCCAGCUUUACUGGCAACUAGCUGUUUGGCAUUGGGCAAGAUAUUUAACCACUUGGUGCAUUGGUUUCUGCAUCCUUACAACUGUAGUCUGGCUCCAAAUAUUAUGCUCUUAACUCCUAACCAUAUUGCUUCACUGUACAAUACAUAAUAGAGUACUGGAUUUUGUGGUUAGUAUUAACUAAUAUACUGUAUUAAAAAACACUUGGUAUAGAGAUUGGAACAUAAUAUUUAAAAUGUUUUUCUUAUUCUUUUUUGUAGUUAUGCUGGUAAGCAUAUAUAUAGAAUAUUCAGACUGUACCAAGUAAGGGUAGGAAAAAGCACUCUGAAUGGAGGGGAAAAUGUGAGGAGAUGGGGGAGUCAGUAUAGUCUAAUGGUAAAUUCUGUCAGUAUUGACACCUUUACCUGUUAUCAGAUGUAUAACUUGGGCUAGUCAUGAUUUCUGUUUUAAGCCUCAGUUUUUUUAAUCAGUAAAAUGGAGCUAAUAAUAUCAACUUCAUAGAGUCAUCAUGACAUAUUAUAUAAAUAAAACACUGAACAAAGUGCUAAACAUGGAGUAAAUUCUUACUAUUUUUUAGGUGCUAUUUUAAAAAAUUAUUUUUCCCUAUGAAAUGUGAUACCCUAAGUCAGCAGCACAAGGGCUAGGUGGAAACCAAGAUACUGAGUUGUGGAUGAUAGUGCAUGCACUGUUCUGUCAGGGUUUUGCAGAGUUCUAGAAGCCUGGAGAGGGCAGGGAGAGGGAGAGAAUAAUGGAGAGGGAGAGGGAGAAAGAGAGAGAGAGGCAAAACUGUCAGAUUCAUCUGUCCAAAUUCAUCCAUCAGUGCCCACAUUUUGCACAUUGUGUAGAACAUCACAAUAGUUUUGC
ensembl:lincRNA